GCAAACUUGGUCAUUUAGAGGAAGUAAAAGUCGUAACAAGGUAACCGUAGGUGAACCUGCGGUUGGAUCAUUAACAAAAUUAGACAAGUUUGUCCAAAAGACAGGCUUUUCUCAACCCUUGUGAACUGUUUAUUGUCUCUGGUGGGUUCUUUAGUGGGACCCACCGAUACUAUUUUGAACCUUGUAGAAUCAUUUGUCUUAAUAAAGUUGAAAUUUUAAUUAAAACAACUUUUGGCAACGGAUCUCUAGGCUCUCGCAUCGAUGAAGAACGCAGC
rnacentral:misc_RNA from 1 species